GUGAGGAAUUUUGCGCAAUGGGGGCAACCCUGACGCAGCGACGCCGCGUGGAGGACGAAGUCUUUCGGGAUGUAAACUCCUGUCAGUGGGGACGAUAAUGACGGUACCCACAGAGGAAGCACCGGCUAACUCCGUGCCAGCAGCCGCGGUAAGACGGAGGGUGCAAGCGUCGUUCGGAAUUACUGGGCGUAAAGCGUAUGUAGGCGGCAAGUUAAGUUCAAUGUUAAAGCCCACGGCUCAACCGAGGAGAUGCAUUGAAUACUGGCUAGCUAGAGGGUGUUAGAGGAAGACGGAAUUCCCAGUGUAGCGGUGAAAUGCGUAGAUAUUGGGAGGAACAUCGGUAGCGAAAGCGGUCUUCUGGGACAUACCUGACGCUGAGGUACGAAAGCGUGGGGAGCAAACGGGAUUAGAAACCCUGGUAGUCC
rnacentral:rRNA from 1 species